rnacentral:rRNA from 1 species
UACGGAGGGUGCGAGCGUUGUCCUGAAUCAUUGGGCGUAAAGGGCGCGUAGGUGGCGGGACAAGCGUGCGGUGAAAGCUCGGGGCUCAACCCCGCGUCGGCCGUGCGAACUGUUUUGCUUGAGCACUGUAGAGGCAGGCGGAAUUCCGGGUGUAGCGGUGGAAUGCGUAGAGAUCCGGAAGAACACCGGUGGCGAAGGCGGCCUGCUGGGCAGUAGCUGACACUGAGGCGCGACAGCGUGGGGAGCAAACAGG